AGUGAACGCUGGCGGUAGGCCUAACACAUGCAAGUCGAACGGCAGCACAGUAAGAGCUUGCUCUUACGGGUGGCGAGUGGCGGACGGGUGAGGAAUACAUCGGAAUCUACUUUUUCGUGGGGGAUAACGUAGGGAAACUUACGCUAAUACCGCAUACGACCUACGGGUGAAAGCAGGGGAUCUUCGGACCUUGCGCGAUUGAAUGAGCCGAUGUCGGAUUAGCUAGUUGGCGGGGUAAAGGCCCACCAAGGCGACGAUCCGUAGCUGGUCUGAGAGGAUGAUCAGCCACACUGGAACUGAGACACGGUCCAGACUCCUACGGGAGGCAGCAGUGGGGAAUAUUGGACAAUGGGCGCAAGCCUGAUCCAGCCAUACCGCGUGGGUGAAGAAGGCCUUCGGGUUGUAAAGCCCUGUUGUUGGGAAAGAAAAGCAGCAGGUUAAUACCCCGCUGUUCUGACGGUACCCAAAGAAUAAGCACCGGCUAACUUCGU
rnacentral:rRNA from 1 species